GCAGAGCUGUCCCCCACUCAUCCUAUUAGGCUUGGGCUGGCACUCAACUUCUCAGUAUUUUAUUACGAGAUCCUCAACUCUCCUGACCGUGCUUGCAAUCUUGCCAAGCAGGUUUGAUUUCUAGAUCCACUACAUGAACCGUGUACUGCUUUUCAUUGGUCAUUUCAAUCCUUAUGAAAAUACGAACUGAAUGCGAGCUAUGUGGAUUUAUGGGCCUGAGGAUAUUAUGCAUUUCACAGUUCAACACAACUGUUGUGAAUAAUUUGGGUUGAGUUUAAUCAAAACUAGUGCAAUACAUCAGGAAUUUGUUUAUAGACAAUAUGAGCAACUAAAGGUGUGGUAGAUCUGAACUAACGGUGAAGACAGGUGAUAGUGCAUCAUGAUCAACUAAAUGCCAUUUGUAAACUUCUUAAUACAUUUAAGCAAAAUUUAGAUCAAGUGGCUAAUGAUGAGCCAGAAGAAUAAGUGCAAGCAACUAACAAUGCAUUAUUCUGUUGAGUUAAUUUUCUUGAUCCAGUUAAGGUUUGCCAUUGGGUGGACCCUCCUUUCCCUCCUUAAUCUUCUUGAGAACUCGGGCCGUCCCUUUCCUAUUUAGUAGAGCUAUAUACCAGUCUUAAAUAUUCGUGGUCGCUUAUUCUGCCUUGAUUGCUCCAGGCUUUUGAUGAGGCAAUCUCAGAGCUGGACACCCUGAGUGAGGAAUCCUACAAGGACAGCACUCUGAUCAUGCAGCUUCUGCGUGAUAACUUGACCCUGUGGACUUCAGACAUCACGGUAUCUCCAUCCUAGCAUAUUUCCACUUAAGUCCUUUUUAUUUUCUGGAGUCAUCGUGUAUAUAUAUUCAAAUUCCAUUUGCUUGGCUCUAGGAGGAUGCUGCCGAUGACAUCAAGGAGGCUCCCAAGGGCGAGUCUGGAGAUGGGCAGUAAAGAUGAUCCAUGUGCCCAGAAACUACAUUUCAGUGUUCGUCUACUAGUGAAUCUGCCAAUGUGCUAUGGGUUCUUGUUUCGUUGGUAUAGGCUGUAUUGUUGCUUGUGAUAGCUGGAAAUUGGAGACUCCCAUUUGUGUCGUGCUUGAAAGGCUUGCGAGUAGCUUGCUGGUUGGCAGGUGUUGUCAAGCUACACUUGGUUGAGGGAGGGAACCUUUAUUUAUUUGGAUUAUUGGUGUU
rnacentral:lncRNA from 1 species